UACGGAAUGUGCAAACGUUAUUCGGAAUCACUGGGCUUAAAGAGUCCGUAGGCGGCAUGCUAGGUGAGGUGUGAAAUCCCCCGGCUCAACCGAGGAAUUGCGCUUCAAACCGGCGUGCUUGAGGAAGAUAGAGGUGGGCGGAACUGAUGGUGGAGCGGUGAAAUGCGUUGAUAUCAUCAGGAACACCGGAGGCGAAAGCGGCCCACUGGGUCUUAUCUGACGCUGAGGGACGAAAGCUAGGGGAGCGAACGGG
rnacentral:rRNA from 1 species